rnacentral:rRNA from 1 species
GAGUAACGGAGAAUUAGGGUUCGAUUCCGGAGAGGGAGCCUGAGAAAUGGCUCCCACAUCCAAGGAAGGCAGCAGGCGCGUAAAUUGCCCGAAUCCUGACAUAGGGAGGUAGUGACAAGAAAUAACAAUACAGGGCUCUUUGAGUCUUGUAAUUGGAAUGAGUACAAUUUACAUCUCU